GGUGAUUCUCAGGUGACGCACACCAGAGUCGGGCUCCUUCCUCUCUGAUUCCAGGUGUGUCACCCAAAACCACA
rfam:Myotis brandtii contig157413, whole genome shotgun sequence.